CGGGCGCGUAGCUCAGGGGUAGAGCACUGUGUUCACACCGCAGGGGUCGCAGGUUCAAAUCCUGCGCGCCCACC
rnacentral:tRNA from 1 species